ensembl:lncRNA
CACACCUAGAUAAUAGAUAAACAAUCACUUGGCAAAUAUUGGAGAAGCAAUUGAAACACAAUGCCAUAUAUCUAUGCCCCAGGCUGUAUUUAAAUAGCCCGAGGUGGGAAUAAAGAGGUCUAAAGUGCCUUGAAUAGUUAAAAAGCUCUUUCCAAGAAAGGAUGCAAUCAGUUGUCAGUAGGUGUUCCAAACACAAGAGAAUACCCAGUUUCUAUUGCAUCUGUUUCUUUUGCGUCCGUCCUCUCCCAGCAAGAGCUUCUUCUCCACAAGCACUGGCAACUUCUCUGCCCUCCCACCCCCGUGCUGCUCUUCCAGUCAGCAGCCCGGCUCUGUGCUGGGUGUUCGAACUGCUUGGAAAUCCUCCUGCCUGCACAAGAACAGCCAUAAUGUCCUGCAGAGCUGGCGUGUGUGAUUUCUUGAGAACAGCGGUUGCGUUUCCUCUUCGUAACUCUGUGGUGCCAAUGGGCAUGUGGAAAACCUUGGUAGAAACCAUCCCUUUGGUGUGUGAGGUUGCCACAGCAGGGCUUACUGACAGGGACUUGAAACUUGCCUCCGCUUUACUCUCAGUUCCACAUUUUUGCUGCAACAGUUGUGUCGAGGCCCAGAAUCACUUCACAGGAUGAGGUCUCUUGCAGUGUUUUGUCUGAAUUCACAGGGACCAGAGAGGCCCCUAGAACAGGUUUGGAUCCAUCCAGAGUCAUGCUUCUGAAUAACUGUAACGGUGGAUAUGUGACUGUGCCUUACCACUGCCUAUGUAGUAAAGAAGGAAUAUCCUCAGACUUGGAUCUUUGCAUCCUAAAGCAUGUAAGGGUUAAAGAUGUCAGGAUUAAAACCAUGCCUGUUUGGCUGUUCCCACUCAUAAUGGGUACUUCUUUGUUUAUUCACCUUCCAGAAGCAUUUGUAUCCUACUCAUAUUUUUUGUUGCUCCUUUUACAAACAAAUAGGAAAUACAUCUGGAGAAUCAUGAUAGUGCACCUUUCCACACCAAGCACAGAAAAGAAUACUUUUCCC